AGGAUGAACGCUGGCGGCGUGCCUAAUACAUGCAAGUCGAGCGAAUGGAUUAAGAGCUUGCUCUUAUGAAGUUAGCGGCGGACGGGUGAGUAACACGUGGGUAACCUGCCCAUAAGACUGGGAUAACUCCGGGAAACCGGGGCUAAUACCGGAUAACAUUUUGAACCGCAUGGUUCGAAAUUGAAAGGCGGCUUCGGCUGUCACUUAUGGAUGGACCCGCGUCGCAUUAGCUAGUUGGUGAGGUAACGGCUCACCAAGGCAACGAUGCGUAGCCGACCUGAGAGGGUGAUCGGCCACACUGGGACUGAGACACGGCCCAGACUCCUACGGGAGGCAGCAGUAGGGAAUCUUCCGCAAUGGACGAAAGUCUGACGGAGCAACGCCGCGUGAGUGAUGAAGGCUUUCGGGUCGUAAAACUCUGUUGUUAGGGAAGAACAAGUGCUAGUUGAAUAAGCUGGCACCUUGACGGUACCUAACCAGAAAGCCACGGCUAACUACGUGCCAGCAGCCGCGGUAAUAC
rnacentral:rRNA from 1 species